AGUGAACGCUGGCGGUAGGCCUAACACAUGCAAGUCGAACGGCAGCACAGUAAGAGCUCGCUCUUACGGGUGGCGAGUGGCGGACGGGUGAGGAAUACAUCGGAAUCUACUUUUUCGUGGGGGAUAACGUAGGGAAACUUACGCUAAUACCGCAUACGACCUACGGGUGAAAGCAGGGGAUCUUCGGACCUUGCGCGAUUGAAUGAGCCGAUGUCGGAUUAGCUAGUUGGCGGGGUAAAGGCCCACCAAGGCGACGAUCCGUAGCUGGUCUGAGAGGAUGAUCAGCCACACUGGAACUGUGACACGGUCCAGACUCCUACGGGAGGCAGCAGUGGGGAAUAUUGGACAAUGGGCGCAAGCCUGAUCCAGCCAUACCGCGUGGGUGAAGAAGGCCUUCGGGUUGUAAAGCCCUUUUGUUGGGAAAGAAAAGCAGCAGGUUAAUACCCCGCUGUUCUGACGGUACCCAAAGAAUAAGCACCGGCUAACUUCGUG
rnacentral:rRNA from 1 species